rnacentral:rRNA from 1 species
CGAUGCCUAAGACAUGCAACGUCGUACGAGUCGGCCCAUGACGUUGAUCGAAACCUGAAGUGCUUGCACAGAUGGCGGACUUCUUCUGACGUGGAUUCUCCGACGAGUGGACAAACGGGUGAGUAACACGUGGGUUACCUGCCUACAUAGACUGGGAUACCGUUUGGAAACGAACGUUUAAUACCGGAUGUUAUCUACGGAUUAAAGGAGCCCUUAAAGCUCCGCUAUGAGAUGGGCCUGCGGUGCAUUAGAUAGUUGGUGGGGUAAUGGCCUACCAAGUCGACGAUGCAUAGCUGAACUGAGAGGUUGAUCGGCCACACUGGGACUGAUACACGGCCCAGACUCCUACGGGAGACAGCAGUUAGGAAUAUUCGUCAAUGGGGGAAACCCUGAACGAGCAAUGCCGCGUGAAAACCGAUGACGGUCCUAUGGAUUGUAAAGUUCUGUUGUUUGGAAAAAAUUGUAAAAUCAGGAAAUGGGUUUUACUUGAUGGUACCAUUCAAGAAAGCCUCGACUAACUACGUGCCAGCAGCAGC